rfam:Lactobacillus crispatus ST1 complete genome, strain ST1
AAAUGUCACUAGGGGUGCGUAAUGCUGAGAUAAUACCCUUCGAACCUGAACAAGAUAAUACUUGCGCAAGGGAAAGUGCUAACAAGAGAAU